rnacentral:rRNA from 1 species
GGGAAAGUUGAAAAGAACUUUGAAGAGAGAGUUCAAGAGUACGUGAAACCGUUCAGGGGUAAACCUGCGAAACUCGAAUGAACGAACGGAGAGAUUCAUCGUCAUUCGACGGCGUACGGGCGCGCGCCUCGAUGUCGCAUUCCUCCCCUCGCGGGUGCGGGUAGUGCGGCACGGGUCGCGUCCGUCGACGUCCGUCGACGGCGUGCACUUCUCUCUCAGUAAUACAUCGCGACCCGUUCGAUGUCGGUCUAAGCGCCGUCCGGGAGUCCAGUCGUCGUGUUCGCGCACGGCUAUUGGACCGUGACGGUGGCCGACCGGCCGUCGGACGGUAGUACAAAAUCGUACUUAUAAUACGAAUCGCGCACGCGCCUUGCGCGCGUCCGGCCCGACGCAAGCGAACGCCGUAUAAAGUCGAUGUCCUGCCCGAGCGCGGACGUCGACGCGGCGCUGCUGUCGUCGCAGCCGUGCUGUCUCGGACUGUGCGCGUAUCCGUCUGCGAUGAUUCAUUUUCGGGCACUCGCAGGACCCGUCUU